rnacentral:tRNA from 1 species
AAGGAUUUAAGUUAAUAAAACUAGUAACCUUCAAAGUUUCAAAUAAAGAUUCAAUUUCUUUAAGCCUUA